AGUCAGAGGCGAUGAAGGACGUGCUAAUCUGCGAUAAGCGUCGGUGAGGUGAUAUGAACCGUUAUAACCGGCGAUUUCCGAAUGGGGAAACCCAGUGUGUUUCGACACACUAUCAUUAACUGAAUCCAUAGGUUAAUGAGGCGAACCGGGGGAACUGAAACAUCUAAGUACCCCGAGGAAAAGAAAUCAACCGAGAUUCCCCCAGUAGCGGCGAGCGAACGGGGAGGAGCCCAGAGCCUGAAUCAGUGUGUGUGUUAGUGGAAGCGUCUGGAAAGGCGCGCGAUACAGGGUGACAGCCCCGUACACAAAAAUGCACAUAUUGUGAGCUCGAUGAGUAGGGCGGGACACGUGGUAUCCUGUCUGAAUAUGGGGGGACCAUCCUCCAAGGCUAAAUACUCCUGACUGACCGAUAGUGAACCAGUACCGUGAGGGAAAGGCGAAAAGAACCCCGGCGAGGGGAGUGAAAAAGAACCUGAAACCGUGUACGUACAAGCAGUGGGAGCCUCUUAAUGGGGUGACUGCGUACCUUUUGUAUAAUGGGUCAGCGACUUAUAUUCUGUAGCAAGGUUAACCGAAUAGGGGAGCCGAAGGGAAACCGAGUCUUAACUGGGCGUUAAGUUGCAGGGUAUAGACCCGAAACCCGGUGAUCUAGCCAUGGGCAGGUUGAAGGUUGGGUAACACUAACUGGAGGACCGAACCGACUAAUGUUGAAAAAUUAGCGGAUGACUUGUGGCUGGGGGUGAAAGGCCAAUCAAACCGGGAGAUAGCUGGUUCUCCCCGAAAGCUAUUUAGGUAGCGCCUCGUGAAUUCAUCUCCGGGGGUAGAGCACUGUUUCGGCAAGGGGGUCAUCCCGACUUACCAACCCGAUGCAAACUGCGAAUACCGGAGAAUGUUAUCACGGGAGACACACGGCGGGUGCUAACGUCCGUCGUGAAGAGGGAAACAACCCAGACCGCCAGCUAAGGUCCCAAAGUCAUGGUUAAGUGGGAAACGAUGUGGGAAGGCCCAGACAGCCAGGAUGUUGGCUUAGAAGCAGCCAUCAUUUAAAGAAAGCGUAAUAGCUCACUGGUCGAGUCGGCCUGCGCGGAAGAUGUAACGGGGCUAAACCAUGCACCGAAGCUGCGGCAGCGACACUAUGUGUUGUUGGGUAGGGGAGCG
rnacentral:rRNA from 1 species